UAGGAAAUAAUAUAAUGGGAGUAUGGAGGGUUUUGAUCCCUUUUGUGCAGGUUCGACUCCUGCUUUCCUAA
rnacentral:tRNA from 1 species